GCAAGUUUUCUUUCCACAUGUCAUUACUAUUUUAAUUCUAACGCCACAGAGCACUUUGUAAUUUUUUUAGUACAAUAUCAUAUCAAAAAGAUAUUCUAUCCGUUAUAAUAUUAUACUACCAUGUGUUUCAGCUACCCAGAGAUGACGAAUCAAGUGAAAUACCGAACAAUAAUGAAGUGGAGAAAAAUAAUUGCACGGAGAGCCCAGAAUAUACACAUAUUCUUGAAGAAAACAUAGCAAACAGAGAGGCCAAAGAUUCUGAACAUACAAAUAAGUUAACCCACAACAAAACAAGUCAACAAAUGGUGGCAACUGAGGACGAGAAAUUAGCACAAACACCCGCCACGGAAGGGCU